rnacentral:tmRNA from 1 species
GGGGCCGCUUUGGUUUCGACAGGUAUAUAGAGAUUAAAAUUGCAAGUCGAGGGCACUCGUUAAAUGCACAGUUAAAUAUAACUGGAAAAUCUGAAAAAGGUGCUUUUGGUAGCGCCAAUUUAGCAUUCGCCUAAAAGAAAAAGCGAAGCUGCUCUUGUUUGUUCCUCUCCCAUGGGAAUUUGCAAGGGCUCAAAUUUAAUGGGAUAUAUUAUUGCCUUGCCUAAAGACAAUAACGAACUUAAUAGGCUUACUAAUAAAUUAGUUGUUAGCUACUGUAUUUAUUAGGACACUUCUUAGCUAACUAAACUUGUAGAGAUUUUCUUUGAAAUAUAUUUGGACAGGAGUUCGAUUCUCCUCGGCUCCACCA